rnacentral:misc_RNA from 1 species
GCUCUCCGGUGUCGGAAGGCAAAAUGUAUGCCACUUUUUGUGGUAGUACAAGCCCCAGUAUCUGGCAUUUUCUUUCUACUAUAAUUGGUAGUUGUUUGCUAAAAGCUUAGCACUCCACGUGCAGGUGUAACGUCGGGGCGCAAAAUCACUUGUAUACGACUUGAAUACUGGUCAGGGGGUUGUAAACAGUAGAGCAGCUCUUCGCUGCGAUCUGCUGAGACUUAGCCCUUGAUCGGAUGAUUUGUCUUUUUUAUAUACUAUAGACAUGUUUAUCCAAGUGCCGUAGGCCAGAGUGCAUUGUCAAAAGUAGACCCAGGCAAUCAAAUUUCACCAGGCAUUUUUGGUUUAUGAGUCUGUGACGAUCCGAUUAAAAAUUGCCUCAGGCAAAGUAGACCAAAGUGCAAUUGACCAAGUGUCGUAGGGUAAUAGGGUUCCCCCAGGCAAUCAAAUUUCACCAGGCAUUUUUGGUUUAUGAGUCUGUGACGAUCCGAUUAAAAAUUGCCUCAGGCAAAGUAGACCAAAGUGCAAUUGACCAAGUGUCGUAGGGUAAUAGGGUUCCCCCAGGCAAUAAUUAUCUACUCAAGUAUACUCAAGUAAAAAUCAUUUACUCAAGUAUAAAAUCAUUUACUCAAUUAUACUCAAGUAAAAGGUAUGUAUAUAAUAUAGGGUUCCCCCAGGCAAUCAUUAUCUACUCAAUUAUACUCAAGUAAAAGGUAUGUACAUGAUAAACUACAAUUUAUAAAAAACUUAAAUAAUUUUUUCUAUAGACUCAAGUGUGUUUUCUUAGACUCAAAUUUUUGCCAAAGCAUUAAAAAAAGAUUACGACACCCCCGAUUCCCAGGACGUCUCCGUUCCAAGUACUAAGGAAGCCCAGCGUCGCUUAACUUGCCAGAUCGGACGGGAUGGCGUGCUUUCAACGCGGUAUGGUCGUAAUCACUGUGUUUUCAAUUUCUCAAUAUUUAAGAAAAAAUUCUCUAAGGCAAAGUGGGCGGGGCUAUUUGUUGUUCGCUGUUCGCGGGAAUGGUUUAAGGCAAAAAGAAAAUGGGCAAUUAUAAAAAUGUGUGGGAGGAAAAUUAGGAUUAAAAAAAUUUUUUUGAAGAAUUAAAUUUUUUAAAAAAAAUAAAGCUUAUAAUAAUAAACUUUAAUCUUUUUUUAAAUUUAAAGUUUAUUAUUAUAAGCUUUAUUUUUUUAAAAAAUUUACUGUUAUUAUUAUAUUAAGCUUUAUUAUCAGUUUAUUUUAAAGCAGCUUUAUUCUAAAUCUGAUAAUAAUCAUAAGCUUUAUAAUCCUAAUUUUUCUCCAGCUGCAAUAUUUAUUUGGCUCCAGACAAUUGUCAGGAAUUGCCAUUGAUAACUUUUGUGAAAGUGCCGCUGAUAAAUUGUAAAUAAUUUAGAUAUCUUUUGCAAAGGAAAUUAAAUAUAUAAUAAGCUGUCAUUAAUUUUUAAUUUCAGAUUAUUUUCGAGAUUUUAUUCCAAAAUUAUCAAUAUAAUCAAUAUUAAUGACAGCUUAAUUACCCGCAGACUGGGUAAUUCCAGCUCUGCUAACUACCUAAAUAAAAGAUAUCUGGUUGAUCCUGCCUGAACUGAUGUGUUCAUUUCAAAGAUUAAGCCAUGCAUGUAUAAGUUUAAUCGUUUUAACGAGAAACCGCGUACGGCUCAUUAGA